rnacentral:lncRNA from 1 species
AAAAACGUUAAGAAAAGGCAUAUUGCGACAAAAGCAUCACUCCUUUCUCUAUAAAAAAAAAAAACUUCUAAAACAAAUAUAGAGAAACCAAUCCAAAUUUUCAAGAAAAAUAUAUGUCAUUCCAAAUGUAUCUGAUUAUCUACAGUUCUAUUCUAAGAAUACAAACCAAAUAGAAUAUAAGCACAAAAGGCCUUGAGCAUACUAUUUGUUCCAGCAAAUACACAAAUUGAUAUAGUAUAAUUUUAAAAAGAUAAGUAGGAUUCAAGUGUACUUUGUGAAAGAACAAUUAGCAUGCUCAUUAGUUCCAGCAACACGCUUAUUCUUUUCCUGUACUUGCUUGGAAGAUUAGUCAUUGGUGAACCUCUUUGAUGGUUGAUGCAUUUGUGUUAGUCUGCUGGGUGUGAGCUCCAUCUCAGAUCAAUGAGUCAUAAAAAACACAUUUCUCAGAAGACCCAUCAGUAGCAUAAGAGUAUCCCCUCUUAUCCCGAAAGCCUAGUCACAGUAUUCUUUAAAGGGAAACAAACAUUAUGCUUGUUCUGCACUAACUCCUCGAAACAGAGGAUUAUCAUGGAUCCAACUAUUCCCAUUGCAGUUGCAUUUUGACAAUAUGAAAAAUACCACAUUCAGCAUGCACAUUAUAGUUCAAACUCACUUUGCCGCAGGAGCACUAGCAUGUUCAUUUGUGUAAGAAUAUUAUGGUUGGUGCAUUUGUGUAAAGCAUAUUGGGUAUUAGUUUCCAUCAUUCCAUCAAAAUUCCCAUUUCAACAUAAGAUCCAUCAGCCAUAGAGGAACCCAACAAACUUCCUUCUUAGCCUCAACCACUUUCACAAGGUUCUUCAAUGGGGAACAAACAUUAUACUUGUUCAACAAGCUAUUGCCAAAGAAAGUGACACCUAAAUUUUCUUUCAACAGGCUAACAACCAAGUAGACCACCCAAAUCAAUGAUCCAAAAUCUAGGUUUCAGGUAAUCUUGGUGGCUUUUACAAUAACUUGCAUGAUCUACAAUCAUUGUUGCCACAGCAAACAGGAUUCACCAAAUCACAUAUCUAGAACAAAUGAUCCCAAUUGCAAUCUCUAAACCAACAAUUUUUUUUCCAAAUUACAAAAGACUGUGCCGAAAGAGUCAAUUAAGGGACAACUGCAAUAUUUUCCGCAACCUUAGAAACCACAAAUUUAGAUACCAUCACAACUCAAAAGUUCCAUCCCACGUGUUUAGAGUCACCAAGCAUCCAUUUAUCCCCAAUGAGUUGCAUUUGGGUUAAUUUAGGGUCAUACAAGUCCUCUCAAUUCAACAUUUCUAUUUAGGGUCACCAUCAAUACUCAUAUAUACCACCCUGAUUUCAGAUUAUCAAUAUAGUAUUGAAGAUCACAAGAUAUAAUUAGGGACAUCCAAGACCGAGAAAAUAUCAUCCUGAAUUUAAAUUAUUAAUACAAAAUUCAUGGUACUGCAAAUGCAAUUAGGGUCACCAAUAUCCAAAAUUUUCACCAUGAAUAAAGAAUUCAUAAUUUCAUUGCAUUAAAGCCUCAAGGAGUGCGUACGUAAAUCAAAUAACCGAUGCUCAAAUAUUCCAUUUCAAAAAACUUCAAAUAAAAGAAUCAAUAAUUUCCAUGGUUUGCAAUUGCAAACCCUCAUAAAUUUUAAUCGAUCAAGAUUGUACAACCUUGAACAAUUAAGAAAUUGGCUAAAGAGAAUACAAUCGCAGUAAUCAAUACAAAACUCAUUGUAUUGAAGAUCAGAAAUCUAAUUAGGGACAUCAAGAACGAGAAAAUACCAUCCCGAAUUCAUAUUAUGAAUACAAAAUUCAUAGUAUUGCAAAUGCAAUCUCAGGGUCACCAAUAUCCAAAAUUUUCACCAAGAAUAUAGAAUUCAUAAUUUCAUUGUCGCAAUUAAAGCCUCAACGAGUGUGUCCGUAAAUUCAUAACUUCAUUGUCGCAAUUAAAGCCUCAACGAGUGCGUCCGUAAAUUCAUAGUAUUGCAUUAUGAAUAUAGAAUUCAUAAUUUCAAUUUAAUUGCCACAAACAAAUGUAUUUAUUGAUCUCAACUCUGAUCAAUUGUUAGGGUUAGGGUCACAAUUCAUAAUAAUCAAAUAAAGAAUCCAUGAUACAGUCAAAAUCUUAGGGUCAGGGUCAUCGAUACUCACAAGAUUCAAUCAAAUAAACGAAUCAAAACAUCUGGGGUUUGAAAUUGCAAAGCCAAAUACUUCUUUGAACAAUUAAGAAACUGGAUAAAAGAUAAUACAUUCGCACUAAUCAAGAAACACGUUCUCAAAUCCAUUUAUAUAAAGAAUUCGAAAGAAAAAGAUUGGAAAACGAAGGUGAAAAAAAGAAAGUUUCUUGCUUUUCGUGCUUUUCUUUCUUGUUUCUUAAAAAUAACUAUACGACAAGAAACGCUAAUAACGAAAACAUGGAGACGAAAGUCUUU